AGGCUGUCGGCAGUCGGCUUGGCGCUGACUUGUAGGACCCCGGGACCGGGCGCCUGGGCCAACUUGGGACCGCUGGGAGUGCAGAGGGGCCCCAGCGCCCGAGCCUUCCGGGAAUGGACGUGCGCGCCCUUGGGGCCGGCGCAUCAUCCACCGCCCACUAGCGUUGGCCCGCCCUGGGGAGAGGAGAAAAUGCCAGAGGCCGACACUUGACUGAUGGCGCUGCGGACCUCGCUGGUCUUGGGGACAAGGCGGCAGAUUUCCUUUAGAAAAACUUCCCUCUCGCGUCUCCCUGGCCCCGCGGCGACCGAAGAGUUGGGGUUCGGCUUUCUUCUCCUGGGAUUUAAGUGUUAUUUGAAACAGCUCCCUGCGCGGCCCUUUUCUCCUAAACUUUGACAGAAACUUCCCUUUGUCCCUACCAAUCCUCAGUGAGUUCUUUACAGGGGUCCGAGACAGGUUGUAGAUAUGAUGCGGCUUAUCGGCUUUACCCCGAUCCUAGCGGAGUUAGGACUUGCUGAUGUAAUUGGCCAGCACCUGCCUAACAAUGAAGGUUUAGUUAUGCUACAAGUAAUGCACCUCUAAAAAAACGUAAAACAGGCUUUACGUUUUACCUGCUAUCUCCACAGGUUUACUAGCUGCUUAAUACAAUAUGCUUGUAUAUCAAGGUGAGCAAAUUUCAGCAAAUGUCAUUGUAAAUAGUCCCAACUUAAAUGGAAUUGAACUCUGGAACUCAAUGUGCAUAGAAGUCCCUGAGACUGACGCCAUUCUAGAUCUACCACUAGAUGGUUUGCGAUGUACGGAAUUAAAGGCAGUCACUUCUACCUGAAUUGUGAUGAAAGUAGUUUACCUGAACAUGCUGGGAAAGUGUGCUACCCUGUUUUGUAUUAGAAACCAGUUUCCAAGUAAAUUGAAAAGCAAAUUUUCAGACUUGACAUUAAAAACACCUC
rnacentral:lncRNA from 1 species